rnacentral:misc_RNA from 1 species
UUUGAUUUCAGAAAAUCGAAGCGAAUUGGGAGAUAGAGGGAGAGAUCAGUUGAGUCAUUAUCAGUAUUUGAGAACAACAGGCUCUGCGAACCCCAUCGAUUCAUUUGCAGGAACCCAAGUUAGCGUCGAAGAAAUUCGAUCGGCGCCUAAUGUUUCUGAUUAUUACCCGCCUUCUCUUCAUGGCGCAUUGGUUAGUUCGCCGAAGCCUGAUCCUAGAGAUCAAGGUCUUGUUUAUCAAGGUGGAUAUGCAGGAGAAUUUGCUCGAACCAGUAAUGAUUAUGGAAGACUAAUAUUGGAUGAAGUAGAGAUUAGAGAACUGCUUAUUGA